AUGCCCCCCAUGAUCGCACCUCUCCUCCGCCCAUUGUGUCCAAAACAGCUCCACAUGUUGUCCCCAAGAAAACAGCAAAACAUGGAGUGGGUACCAGGAAGAGCCCUCGGAAAAGAGUUGAUCAGGCAGGCAAUGUGCAUGAUCAACAUGUCAAGGAUGCUGUCACAGGGUUUGUGUCUGCUUCAACCUUGUUCCCGCCUGCUCCCCGGGGCAAAGACUGGCGAUCCUGAUCAGACGAAGGGACCUGGAGGUGAAGAAAAGCUUCAUGUCAAUCCAACGCUCAAGCACACACGUGUCCCACUGGAUAUGGGGGUUCCUUACACUCCAAGAGUUGACCAUCCUGUUAAAGGGACAACCAAGAAGGUGGCUAUUGAUAUUCCGAACACGACUCCCCGUCCCACUGCCAAACCUAAGGAUGCCUGA
rnacentral:rRNA from 1 species